rnacentral:rRNA from 1 species
AGUGAACGCUGGCGGUAGGCCUAACACAUGCAAGUCGAACGGAAGCACAGUAAGCGCUUGCUCUUACGGGUGGCGAGUGGCGGACGGGUGAGGCAUACAUCGGAAUCUACUUUUUCGUGGGGGAUAACGUAGGGAAACUUACGCUAAUACCGCAUACGACCUACGGGUGAAAGCAGGGGAUCUUCGGACCUUGCGCGAUUGAAUGAGCCGAUGUCGGAUUAGCUAGUUGGCGGGGUAAAGGCCCACCAAGGCGACGAUCCGUAGCUGGUCUGAGAGGAUGAUCAGCCACACUGGAACUGAGACACGGUCCAGACUCCUACGGGAGGCAGCAGAGGGGAAUAUUGGACAAUGGGCGCAAGCCUAAGCCAGCCAUACCGCGUAGGUGAAGAAGGCCUUCGAGUUGUAAAGCCCUUUUGUUGGGAAAGAAAAACAGCAGGUUAAUACCCCGCUGUUCUGACGGUACCCAAAGAAUAAGCACCGGCUAACUUCGU